GGAAGUAAAAGUCGUAACAAGGUUUCCGUAGGUGAACCUGCGGAAGGAUCAUUAAUAAAAAAUAAGAGUGCACUUUAUUGUGGCUCAAACUUUUUUACACACACACACCACACCCUUAAGACUUGAUGACAUGACUUAAAAAUCAUUGUCAUCAGGUAUAAAGACUUGAUGACAUGACUUAAAAAUCAUUGUCAUUAGGUAUAAGUAACAUUAUGUUACAUUAUCCUUUUUAUUUUAAUUAUUCAAACACUUUUUUAAGAAGAAUGUAAAACCUUAUAAAGAAAUUAUAACUUUUAACAAUGGAUCUCUAGGCUCUCACAUCGAUGAAGAACACAGUGAAAUGUGAUAAGUAAUGUGAAUUGCAGAAUUCAGUGAAUCAUCGAAUCUUUGAACGCAUCUUGCGCCUUUUGGUAUUCCAAAAGGCACACCUGUUUGAGUGUCAUGAAACCCCCCUCAUUCAACUUUUUUAUAUUGAUGAAUGGAUGUUGAGUGUUGCUUUUGUUAGCUCACUUUAAAUAUAUAAGUCAUUUUCUGAAACUAUGAUGGAUUGACUUGGUGUAAUAAUUUUCACAUCAAGGAAAGUAGCAAUACUGCCAUCUAUUUUGGGGAGGACUCCUAAACACCUUUAUGUCACAUUUUAAGACCUCAAAUCAGGUGGGACUACCCGCUGAACUUAAGCAUAUCAAUAAGCGGAGGA
rnacentral:rRNA from 1 species